rnacentral:rRNA from 1 species
UACGAAGGGGGCUAGCGUUGCUCGGAUUGACUGGGCGUAAAGGGCGCGUAGGCGGUUUGUACAGUCAGACGUGAAAUCCUGGGCUCAACCUGGGGGCUGCGUUUGAUACGUGCGGACUUGAGUGCGGAAGAGGGUCGUGGAAUUCCCAGUGUAGAGGUGAAAUUCGUAGAUAUUGGGAAGAACACCGGUGGCGAAGGCGGCGACCUGGUCCGAUACUGACGCUGAGGUGCGAAAGCGUGGGGAGCAAACAGG